GCAAAUUGCUUGGCUUAUGACAAUUAAUGUUUAUCAUUGAUGUUUAUCAUUAUCAAUGAUGGCAAUGCAUUUUUCUAUCAAGUAUAACAGAGUUUCGCUUGCGUGGAUUGGGAGAUGUUAAACAGUAUUAAAGGGUCGGCUAUCGAUUUUUUUGUUUGGUAAUGAGAAGUUUGUUGUGUAUCAGGAGUUAAGUGAUUUUGAAUUUUUUAACUUAAUAAAUCAUUCUCAUAUUUAGUAAUCUCUAAUGGGUUUUUCAGUUAUGGUGCUAAAUAUCUAAUGCAUUUUCAUUUAUUUUUUAUUGCAAGGUUUUAACAAUAAUGGCAAUUUGCUACUGUGGAUAUUUAUGUUAAAGACCUCAAGAUUAUAUUUAUUAAUUCAGUUAAACAACAUGAUGAAAACUACAUGGUUGCUUCAGUGGAUGUUGAUCUUUUUUAUAUCAAGAAUAAACCG